rnacentral:rRNA from 1 species
GCCUAUCAUGCAAGUCGAGCGCGCCCUUCGGGGUGAGCGGCGGACGGGUGAGUCCCCUUGGGAAUAUGCCCUUCUCUAAGGAAUAGCCUCUGGAAAACGGAGAGUAAUACCUUAUACGCCCUAUGGGGGAAAGAUUUAUCGGAGAAGGAUUAGCCCGCGUUAGAUUAGGUAGUUGGUGGGGUAAUGGCCUACCAAGCCUACGAUCUAUAGCUGGUUUGAGAGGAUGAUCAGCCACACUGGGACUGAGACACGGCCCAGACUCCUACGGGAGGCAGCAGUAGGGAAUCUUAGACAAUGGGGGCAACCCUGAUCUAGCCAUGCCGCGUGUGUGAUGAAGGCCCUAGGGUCGUAAAGCACUUUCGCCAGAGAUGAUAAUGACAGUAUCUGGUAAAGAAACCCCGGCUAACUCCGUGCCAGCAGCCGCGGUAAUACGGAGGGGGUUAGCGUUGUUCGGAAUUACUGGGCGUAAAGCGCACGUAGGCGGAUUAGUAAGUUAGAGGUGAAAUCCCAGGGCUCAACCCUGGAACUGCCUUUAAUACUGCUAGUCUUGAGUUCGAGAGAGGUAAGUGGAAUUCCGAGUGUAGAGGUGAAAUUCGUAGAU